rnacentral:rRNA from 1 species
AAAUUGAAGAGUUUGAUCAUGGCUCAGAUUGAACGCUGGCGGCAGGCCUAACACAUGCAAGUCGAGCGGAAACGAGUUAUCUGAACCUUCGGGGAACGAUAACGGCGUCGAGCGGCGGACGGGUGAGUAAUGCCUAGGAAAUUGCCCUGAUGUGGGGGAUAACCAUUGGAAACGAUGGCUAAUACCGCAUGAUGCCUACGGGCCAAAGAGGGGGACCUUCGGGCCUCUCGCGUCAGGAUAUGCCUAGGUGGGAUUAGCUAGUUGGUGAGGUAAGGGCUCACCAAGGCGACGAUCCCUAGCUGGUCUGAGAGGAUGAUCAGCCACACUGGAACUGAGACACGGUCCAGACUCCUACGGGAGGCAGCAGUGGGGAAUAUUGCACAAUGGGCGCAAGCCUGAUGCAGCCAUGCCGCGUGUGUGAAGAAGGCCUUCGGGUUGUAAAGCACUUUCAGUCGUGAGGAAGGUGGUGUAGUUAAUAGCUGCAUUAUUUGACGUUAGCGACAGAAGAAGCACCGGCUAACUCCGUGCCAGCAGCCGCGGUAAUACGGAGGGUGCGAGCGUUAAUCGGAAUUACUGGGCGUAAAGCGCAUGCAGGUGGUUUGUUAAGUCAGAUGUGAAAGCCCGGGGCUCAACCUCGGAAUAGCAUUUGAAACUGGCAGACUAGAGUACUGUAGAGGGGGGUAGAAUUUCAGGUGUAGCGGUGAAAUGCGUAGAGAUCUGAAGGAAUACCGGUGGCGAAGGCGGCCCCCUGGACAGAUACUGACACUCAGAUGCGAAAGCGUGGGGAGCAAACAGGAUUAGAUACCCUGGUAGUCCACGCCGUAAACGAUGUCUACUUGGAGGUUGUGGCCUUGAGCCGUGGCUUUCGGAGCUAACGCGUUAAGUAGACCGCCUGGGGAGUACGGUCGCAAGAUUAAAACUCAAAUGAAUUGACGGGGGCCCGCACAAGCGGUGGAGCAUGUGGUUUAAUUCGAUGCAACGCGAAGAACCUUACCUACUCUUGACAUCCAGAGAACUUUCCAGAGAUGGAUUGGUGCCUUCGGGAACUCUGAGACAGGUGCUGCAUGGCUGUCGUCAGCUCGUGUUGUGAAAUGUUGGGUUAAGUCCCGCAACGAGCGCAACCCUUAUCCUUGUUUGCCAGCGAGUAAUGUCGGGAACUCCAGGGAGACUGCCGGUGAUAAACCGGAGGAAGGUGGGGACGACGUCAAGUCAUCAUGGCCCUUACGAGUAGGGCUACACACGUGCUACAAUGGCGCAUACAGAGGGCGGCCAACUUGCGAAAGUGAGCGAAUCCCAAAAAGUGCGUCGUAGUCCGGAUUGGAGUCUGCAACUCGACUCCAUGAAGUCGGAAUCGCUAGUAAUCGUGGAUCAGAAUGCCACGGUGAAUACGUUCCCGGGCCUUGUACACACCGCCCGUCACACCAUGGGAGUGGGCUGCAAAAGAAGUAGGUAGUUUAACCUUCGGGGGGACGCUUACCACUUUGUGGUUCAUGACUGGGGUGAAGUCGUAACAAGGUAGCGCUAGGGGAACCUGGCGCUGGAUCACCUCCUUAAACGAUGAU